rnacentral:tRNA from 1 species
GGCUGUAUAGUGUAGUGGUUUAGCACUCGGGAUUUUGAUCUCUUGUCUGCUAUCUUCCCGCAACCCCGGUUCGAACCCGGGUACGGCCU